rnacentral:rRNA from 1 species
UACAGAGGUCUCAAGCGUUGUUCGGAUUCAUUGGGCGUAAAGGGUGCGUAGGCGGCGCGGUAAGUCGGGUGUGAAAUCUUGGAGCUUAACUCCGAAACUGCAUUCGAUACUGCCGUGCUUGAGGACUGGAGAGGAGACUGGAAUUCUCGGUGUAGCGGUGAAAUGCGUAGAUAUCGAGAGGAACACCUGCGGCGAAGGCGGCGCUCUGGGCCGGUACUGACGCUGAGGAGCGAAAGCGUGGGGAUCAAACAGG